rnacentral:rRNA from 1 species
CGUACCGCAAACCGACACUGGUGCGCGAGAUGAGUAUUCUAAGGCGCUUGAGAGAACUCAGGAGAAGGAACUCGGCAAAUUGACACCGUAACUUCGGAAGAAGGUGUGCCUUUAGUAGGUGAAGUCCCUGCGGACGGAGCCCAAUGAGGUUGCAAAAAAUCGGUGGCUGCGACUGUUUAAUAAAAACACAGCACUCUGCAAACACGAAAGUGGACGUAUAGGGUGUGACGCCUGCCCGGUGCUGGAAGAUUAAAUGAUGGGGUGCAAGCUCUUGAUUGAAGUCCCAGUAAACGGCGGCCGUAACAAUAACGGUCCUAAGGUAGCGAAAUUCCUUGUCGGGUAAGUUCCGACCUGCACGAAUGGCGUAACGAUGGCCACACUGUCUCCUCCUGAGACUCAGCGAAGUUGAAAUGUUUGUGAUGAUGCAAUCUCCCCGCGGAAAGACGGAAAGACCCCAUGAACCUUUACUGUAGCUUUGUAUUGGACUUUGAACAGAUCUGUGUAGGAUAGGUGGGAGGCUUUGAAGCAGGGUCGCUAGAUCUUGUGGAGCCAACGUUGAAAUACCACCCUGGUGUGUUUGAGGUUCUAACCUAGGCCCGUAAUCCGGGUCGGGGACAGUGCAUGGUAGGCAGUUUGACUGGGGCGGUCUCCUCCCAAAGCGUAACGGAGGAGUUCGAAGGUACGCUAGUUACGGUCGGACAUCGUGACGAUAGUGCAAUGGCAUAAGCGUGCUUAACUGCGAGACUGACAAGUCGAGCAGAUGCGAAAGCAGGACAUAGUGAUCCGGUGGUUCUGUAUGGAAGGGCCAUCGCUCAACGGAUAAAAGGUACUCUGGGGAUAACAGGCUGAUACCGCCCAAGAGUUCAUAUCGACGGCGGUGUUUGGCACCUCGAUGUCGGCUCAUCUCAUCCUGGGGCUGUAGCCGGUCCCAAGGGUAUGGCUGUUCGCCAUUUAAAGAGGUACGUGAGCUGGGUUUAAAACGUCGUGAGACAGUUUGGUCCCUAUCUUCCGUGGGCGCUGCAGAUUUGAGGAAGCCUGCUCCUAGUACGAGAGGACCGGAGUGGACACACCUCUGGUGUAUCGGUUGUCACGCCAGUGGCAUUGCCGAGUAGCUAUGUGUGGAAGAGAUAACCGCUGAAAGCAUCUAAGCGGGAAACUCGUUUCAAGAUGAGAUCUGCCGGGGCCUUGAGCCCCCUAAAGAGUCGUUCAAGACCAGGACGUUGAUAGGUCAGGUGUGGAAGCGCAGUAAUGCGUUAAGCUAACUGAUACUAAUUGCUCGUGCGGCUUGACC